CACGUAGGGUGCGAGCGUUGUCCGGAAUUAUUGGGCGUAAAGAGCUCGUAGGCGGUGUGUCGCGUCGGCCGUGAAAACCUGCAGCUUAACUGUGGGCUUGCGGUCGAUACGGGCAUCACUGGAGUUCGGCAGGGGAGACUGGAAUUCCUGGUGUAGCGGUGGAAUGCGCAGAUAUCAGGAGGAACACCGGUGGCGAAGGCGGGUCUCUGGGCCGAUACUGACGCUGAGGAGCGAAAGCAUGGGUAGCGAACAGG
rnacentral:rRNA from 1 species